rnacentral:rRNA from 1 species
UACAGGGGGGGCAAGCGUUGUUCGGAAUUACUGGGCGGAAAGGGCUCGUAGGCGGCCAACUAAGUCCGACGUGAAAUCUCAAAGCUUAACUUUGGAACUGCGUCGGAUACUGGAUGGCUUGAAUUCGGGAGAGGGAUGCAGAAUUCCAGGUGUAGCGGUGAAAUGCGUAGAUAUCUGGAGGAAUACCGGUGGCGAAGGCGGCAUCCUGGACCGACAUUGACGCUGAGGAGCGAAAGCUAGGGGAGCAAACGGG